AGCACCUGUAGAUCACAAAUAGCAGUCGAACUAAAUAAACAAACUCUCUGCGAUCAAUGUUUUCAACCUUACUGUCAAAAAGUUUUAUCACAAUCAGUAAUACACUGAUCCUAAAUGACAAUCCUUCACCUUGAACAGUUGUUUGAUGAUAAUAUUUUCCACAAGAGCUUUAGAAAAAUGUCAAAAGACUAGAUCAAGCAUGAAUGUAAAUGCUCGUAUUUGUGAGGUUGAAGUACAAGUGUGCAACUAGGAAGAUGCCAUAUGAAUAUGAAUGCAUAACAUGAAUGAAAGUGUAUUUCAAGUAGAAUUGAAGAUGCUUUAAGUCUCCAUUUUGGUGUAGCUACAGAAUAUAACUGUUGAAGCUAGCUAGUAACCAGGCAAACCUCUCUCGUUCAACCAAUGGCGUGAGUUUGAGGCGGGACUACCUGUUUCAUUGACCAAUGGUAAAUAGGGAAAACUGUGUUUGGGAAAUCUGUUUAAAAGAAGAUUGUCUGCAGUUCUGUUUGGUUCAGCUCUAUGGUCAUGAAGAGAUCUGGUAUUCAAACGACACUUUUAAGUCUGCAGAUCUCUAGAGAGUGGGUGCAAAUGAUUGUAAAAAAAACAACAUUGUGUGAUCACAUAAUUACAGGUUCUUUCUUUUGUGAAAGUCUUGUCCUUUACUUUUCUGUAAGAUGACUCCCUUUCUGCUCUGUCACUCUCUCAGAGCCUCGUUACACUCAAUAAUUCAAUCAGGAUGUACUCAGAAGAUGAUUAAAGUCUAAUUUGGGAAGCUCUUAAGCACAUCUGUCAGAGGUGUUGAGAAUCGCUCGCCCCGUCUCAGUUUUCCAGGAACUGCUCUGUGGCCGUAGCUCUGCUGGUCAGCAGUCAUGUGACUCAACCACAACCAAAACCCCCACCCAACGCACAGGAGCACGUGCACAGCUCUCUCAGUACAGCUGUGCAGGAGAUCCGUCAUGUGCAGCAUCUGCCCGGGACUGUCCGAACGAGUCCUAUCCCAACACACCAAGGUCAUCUGCAUGUGAGAGCGUACGAACGCACGUACGGGGCUUUGAAAAACAGAUCGCUUCAUAUCUGUAUGAGCCAGAGAUGUUACGUAACAGUCUCAGGAUACAUGACAGACUGCCAUUUAAUGUCUACACCAGACAAAGGGUAAAAUAUGUUAAGCGAAGGUAACUAAAGACAAUAAACAAAGUCAUAAAAAAAAA